CAAUAGCGUAUAUUUAAGUUGUUGCAGUUAAAAAGCUCGUAGUUGGAUUUCGGGUGGGACGCAGCGGUCUCGCAUUGCGUUUGUACUGCUGCAGCCCUCCUUCUUGCCGGGGGCGGCCUCUCGGACUUCACUGUCUGGGGGUCAGAAUCGGCGAUGUUACUUUGAGUAAAUUAGAGUGUUCAAAGCAAGCCUACGCUCUGAAUACAUUAGCAUGGAAUAACACGAUAGGACUCUGGCUUAUCUUGUUGGUCUGUGAGACCAGAGUAAUGAUUAAGAGGGACAGUCGGGGGCAUUCGUAUUUCAUUGUCAGAGGUGAAAUUCUUGGAUUUAUGAAAGACGAACUUCUGCGAAAGCAUUUGUCAAGGAUGUUUUCAUUAA
rnacentral:rRNA from 1 species